UGAGUGAAUGCUUCAGGGCACAGGUGGCAGUGGUGGGGGCGCUCUCCUGUGUGGCUGCGCACAUGUUGCUUGAGGUGUGCCUUCUGAGUGAAUGCUUCAGGGCACAGGUGGCACUGGUGGGGGCGCUCUCCUGUGUGGCUGCGCACAUGUUGCUUGAGGUUGGAACUCACACUGAACACUUUUGGGCAGAGGUGGCACUUGAAUGGACGUUCCCCUGAGUGUGUGCGCAGGUGACUCAUUAUGUUUGUCUUUUCCAUGGUCUUAUAAGGGCACAGCCGGCAGCAAUGCAGCCUCCCAUGCUAAGACACAAGCAAGUCGUACUGUUUCAGUGACCCUGACAACAAGGAACCUGCAAAGUCACAGGGAACAUGGGAAGGUGAUGCAAAUGAAAACACUUCCCUCAACUAAAGUGCUAGACCUGGCAAUCAAAAAGGACUACCACAAUUGUAGGCAAUAUACGUGACAACCUAACACACAUGCCAUAACCCAACACACACAUGAUUGUUAUGGCAACAGUACCCCGAUACAGUACAUGUCUCACACCAGUUCCUAUCUCUCUAAACAUAUAUUACUAACCUGAAUACUUACAAACCCCUGCUGGGUAUAUUAGAAGUCGGAUUUGGUAUGCAAUUCUGAUGUUAUGCCUAAAUAGUCAAAUAACUUUGUAUAGGUAGCACUUCAUUGUGCACUCGAAUAAUAAACUAAGAAUUACAUGUUUUCUGGCAUAAAAGGACUUCAAGAAUGCAGCACAACAAAAGCAUUAGGUGAAAUGCGAACACAUGAAGCAUAUAAAAUUAAUUACGUAUAUUAGUGCAAGAAAUUAUAAAAGAAAAUCAGCAACAUAUGAAAGGGAAAAAAUAAUAAACACGGCAUUUAUAUAGGUCAGAAUGGCACCAAGUUUGCUGAUGGAGGAGAAUAGAGCCGCAUUUCUGCGCAUACAACAAAGGA